rnacentral:rRNA from 1 species
ACGCUAGCUACAGGCUUAACACAUGCAAGUCGAGGGGAAACGGCAUUGAGUGCUUGCACUCUUUGGACGUCGACCGGCGCACGGGUGAGUAACGCGUAUCCAACCUUCCCAUUACUGUGGGAUAACCUGCCGAAAGGCAGACUAAUACCGCAUAGUCUUCGAUGACGGCAUCAGAUUUGAAGUAAAGAUUUAUCGGUAAUGGAUGGGGAUGCGUCUGAUUAGCUUGUUGGCGGGGUAACGGCCCACCAAGGCUACGAUCAGUAGGGGUUCUGAGAGGAAGGUCCCCCACAUUGGAACUGAGACACGGUCCAAACUCCUACGGGAGGCAGCAGUGAGGAAUAUUGGUCAAUGGACGGAAGUCUGAACCAGCCAAGUAGCGUGCAGGAUGACGGCCCUAUGGGUUGUAAACUGCUUUUGUAUGGGGAUAAAGUUAGGGACGUGUCCCUAUUUGCAGGUACCAUACGAAUAAGGACCGGCUAAUUCCGUGCCAGCAGCCGCGGUAAUACGGAAGGUCCAGGCGUUAUCCGGAUUUAUUGGGUUUAAAGGGAGCGUAGGCUGGAGAUUAAGUGUGUUGUGAAAUGUAGACGCUCAACGUCUGAAUUGCAGCGCAUACUGGUUUCCUUGAGUACGCACAACGUUGGCGGAAUUCGUCGUGUAGCGGUGAAAUGCUUAGAUAUGACGAAGAACUCCGAUUGCGAAGGCAGCUGACGGGAGCGCAACUGACGCUUAAGCUCGAAGGUGCGGGUAUCAAACAGGAUUAGAUACCCUGGUAGUCCGCACAGUAAACGAUGGAUGCCCGCUGUUGGUACCUGGUAUCAGCGGCUAAGCGAAAGCAUUAAGCAUCCCACCUGGGGAGUACGCCGGCAACGGUGAAACUCAAAGGAAUUGACGGGGGCCCGCACAAGCGGA